CGGCGGGCGGCGGCUACCUACUUGGUGGCCAACCGGCGAGGUGCUUCGGAGGACACUCCAUCGGCAGCAACGGCGAGGGUUUCGGAGGACACCCGGCCACAUCGCCACCUUCGUCCAGCUGGGUUUCUCUCCCUCGUGAGCACAGUCAACCAUUCACUGGACACGGUGGCUCAGACGCUCAGUGCAUCCGGCCCGCGGCUACGGUGGGUCGGCCAUGAACCUAACGGGCCGGCUCCACUUCCACCAGAGACGGGGCGAGCUCAGGCACCAAGAUAG
rnacentral:lncRNA from 1 species